rnacentral:rRNA from 1 species
UACGUAGGGUCCGAGCGUUGUCCGGAAUUACUGGGCGUAAAGAGCUCGUAGGUGGUUUGUCGCGUUGUUCGUGAAAACUCACAGCUCAACUGUGGGCGUGCGGGCGAUACGGGCAGACUUGAGUACUGCAGGGGAGACUGGAAUUCCUGGUGUAGCGGUGGAAUGCGCAGAUAUCAGGAGGAAUACCGGUGGCGAAGGCGGGUCUCUGGGCAGUAACUGACGCUGAGGAGCGAAAGCGUGGGGAGCGAACAGG